CGGGCUGUAGUACAGUGGUAGUAUACACGCUUCGGGUGCGUGAGAUCUGGGUUCGAUUCCCAGCAGCCCGA
rnacentral:tRNA from 1 species